rnacentral:rRNA from 1 species
AGAGUUUGAUCAUGGCUCAGGACGAACGCUGGCGGCGUGCCUAACACAUGCAAGUCGAGCGGAGACAGUGAGUAGCUUGCUAUGAGCUGUUUUAGCGGCGGACGGGUGAGUAACGCGUGAGCAACCUUUCCCAGACAGGGGAAUAACACACCGAAAGGUGUACUAAUACCGCAUAAGACCACGGAAUCACAUGGUUCUGAGGUAAAAGAUUUAUCGGUUUUGGGGGUGGGCUCGCGUCCGAUUAGGUAGUUGGUGAGG